GCCCGGCCGUUUAUUUUUGGUAUUCGGCGCGCGGAGUGAAACGGGAAGCCGGUGCAAAACCGGCGCUGCCCCCGCAACGGUAAAUGAGGCGCGGUUUGCAAUUCGCCACUGUAUCUUCGGAUAUGGGAAGGCGCAGACCGCGGAGUCGGCAAUUAUUCAUGCCGGCAAACUCAUGAGCCCGGAGACCGGCCUGAACUCUUUCGCGGACC
rnacentral:ncRNA from 1 species